AUUACAAAUUGCCGCACAUUAGGAAACCCCAAUUAAGGAGAGAUGGAGUUCUUCCCUCUCAACUUGAAUGUGGCCGAGAUGUUGUGGAGAAUGUACUGAUUCAUUUACAGAAUCAAGUUUAAAUCAAGGGCAAAUCACGCAAGACUUUUCAAGUUUUUUUGGAUGAAGUUCUUCAAUCAACCAAGUUAUUUGAAGAGAUUGUUAGAUUGAAGAACUUGUUUUUGUGAAUUUGUAGAAGGUUAGGUGUCAACCAAUGCACAUCAGUGAACAUGUUUUUGUGAAUUUGUAGAAGGUUUGCUGUAAGUGGGAAAGUUUAGUGCACACUGAAGGACUUGGAUUUUUGAAUUUUUUGAAGAAGCGUUUUGGAAAUUUGUGAAGGUUUAGUGUAAAUGGGAAAGAUCCUCUGUGGAAGAAAAGAACUGGAUGGUUGUUUGGUGUUUGAUCUCAAUGUAAAUCUCAUUUUGGGUGUUCCAGUGCAUAUUCUAUUAUUCCGUACCAGUAGUACUCAUUUUGUAAAAUUUUCCUCUUUUUUUGUGUUAGUAGUAAUGAUUGAAAAAUGGAAGGGUAAAAUUGGAAAUUUGUUAAUCAUUACCCAUCUAGUUUAGAAGUGGGACAAUUAUUUUGGGACGGCAAAAAGUGCAAACUGGGACAAUUAAAUUUGGACGGAGGGAGUAC